AGCGAACGCUGGCGGCAGGCUUAACACAUGCAAGUCGAACGGGCAUCUUCGGAUGUCAGUGGCAGACGGGUGAGUAACACGUGGGAACGUACCCUUCGGUUCGGAAUAACUCAGGGAAACUUGAGCUAAUACCGGAUACGCCCUUUUGGGGAAAGGUUUACUGCCGAAGGAUCGGCCCGCGUCUGAUUGGCGUGUUGGUGGGGUAACGGCCUACCAAGGCGACGAUCAGUAGCUGGUCUGAGAGGAUGAUCAGCCACACUGGGACUGAGACACGGCCCAGACUCCUACGGGAGGCAGCAGUGGGGAAUAUUGGACAAUGGGCGCAAGCCUGAUCCAGCCAUGCCGCGUGAGUGAUGAAGGCCUUAGGGUUGUAAAGCUCUUUUGUCCGGGACGAUAAUGACGGUACCGGAAGAAUAAGCCCCGGCUAACUUCGUG
rnacentral:rRNA from 1 species